GUUUACAUUUACAAGUAUCCUUUACACAUAGUUUGAUCAAAUAAUACCUGUAAAAAAUAUUUGACCACCAAGUUUGUACAAACAGGUCAAUAAUCAGGACACUGAUAUGUUUGAUGUAUAAUUUCACAACAGGAAUAUAACUUGUUAAGAUACAUUUUAAGUAAGUGAACGAAAAGAGAGAGAAAAUAUUUGGGGAGUUCGAAUACAGUACAUUAAAAUCAAACAAUAUCAUGGCAAAAUAAUUGAAAUGAUUUAAGGAACAAAACAUUAAUCAAAGAGCUGAUAGCUCUGUGGUGGAAGAAGGUGAAUAAAAGGUAACUUGAAUUACCAUAAAAGCAGCCCCACUAACCCAGCCUGAUUUGUUCCAUUAUUGUUAUGACGUUUUUUUUUCUUCAAACAAGAAUGUGUCAUAAGUACAUGGAUUUCCCAUCCGUACAAUCAUUUUCUAUGUUCAGUGGACUGUGGAAAUUAAGUAAAAUCUUUAAUUUGGCAGUAAAAUUAGAAAAAUCAUAUCAUAAGGAACACAUGUGUACUUAGUUUCAAGUUGAUUGGAUUUCAACUUCAUCAAAAACUACCUCGACCAUAAACUUUAACCUGAAGCAGGAUGGACGGAUAGACCAAAAAACAUAAUGCCCAUAAAUGGGGCAUAAAAAUAGUAAGGCUUGUAACAUACCCUCCAACUUUUGAAAGUUCCCAUGGUUUUUUUUUAGUGCGCGACAACAAUUUUAAGGGUUACAAUUUUUAGCGAAGUAUUUACCACGAUCUGGAUUGUCUAGAAAAAGUGUCAUAUUUGUAUGAUGAACUUACAUGCCUUUUUCUUAAGUCUGUUUGCAUGAUUCUAGUUAUUAAAUCGGUAGAAAAGAUGAACAUGUAGCUAGCAGACGAGGGUUUAUUUUCUUGUGUAAGAAUAUUAGAUACUUGUUGAAAUGUCCAAUUUUGAAUUAUGCACAAAGAUUAACCUUUAACAGGUUGGGAACAACACUCCAAAUGAGGGGUAAUCCUCAUUGGAAGAACAUUACAACCCACUGUAAAAAAUGAGCACCUUUCUAUUCAUAUUAUUUGAUGAAACUUUUCCCCUAUGCAUCUAUCAAGUAUUAAAUGGUCAAAACAUGUCAAAAGAAUUUGUAAUGUUUCUAGACUAAUAUCUUCUUUAUUAAUUUGACCCCUCAUUUAGAAAAUAUGUACCAAUUAUAAUGAAUUUUCCCACUUUUGAGUUAAAAAUCUUUAAAAUUUUCUAUCUUUUUUAUCAACAGUGAAAUGACACCUUGUUUUAGGGACAGUCCC
rnacentral:lncRNA from 1 species